GUUAACCCUUUAAGCUUCAGUCAAUUCCAGCCGUUUUCAGUACAAAAAAAUCGCUAAUAUUCUAUUUUUAAAUAAAAAAAAUUACGAAAAAUACGGGGAAUAUUGGACGCGCAUCGGGAGGUGCAUUUCCUUGAAAACGACCGAUUCGGGGAUUUUAUACGACUUCAGGACAUGUUUUGGACAAAAUAGUUUACUGGCUUGUGUCAUCUGAUGUAAAAGGCUGGAUUAUGGCCGUUUUUUGUGGAAUCUUUUUUUUUGUGUGUAAUAAUAAACCCGGAAAUGUGAGUCGCGCUGUGUGCGUUGAAGCCGUGUAUAGAGAACGGAUGGAUGAAUAUUUGUUUUUGUCGGACAAAUGUGUUUUUCUCACCCGCUGUGGUAAUCGCAUCUGAAAGUGGUUUAUACCGGCGGAUUCAUGAGAAUCUAAGCUUUCCAUCGGCGUAUAGUGUUUGUAUAAUCGUGUUUGCAGCCGUCGGACAUUCUUGAAAUUCCUACGCAAAUUAGUAGGUGUACCACCGGCGGUACACUGAAGCUUAAAGCUGCUGUCCGGAGUUUGAAUCUCAGCGUCUCCCAAAACACUGUUGGUCCCUCCCUCUGAUUUCGCCCCUUUAUUUGUGCACGCGCGCAGUACAUGAGAGAAGUGCCCGGAGUGCUGCAGCAUCUCGCCUGUUUUGCUGUUUUCCCCUCUUCUGCAUUUAGUACAUGUAGUAAAUAAUAAAGGAAUUACGUUAGAAUGCUGUAUUGAGUCUAACUUGUCCUAAUACCAAAAUAACAUGAAUCUGCUAGGACGAACGAGUAAAGUUUCAAUAUGUGAUUACACUCGUGUAUCCCUCUCGAUGAUGUUGUUUAUCAAACUUAGUGCAUUUACGCGUGUAUAAGUGUUACAUUGUUUAUUUAUUUCUAUCUGGAGUUCAGAAUUGCAUGACUCCUCUGACGAAGAGUAUGUCCCAGACGCCCCAACAUCUUCCUCCAGAGGUCGGGCAUCUAAACGAAGCCGUCAGGCGGGCUAUGGAGGCCGUGGUCGGGGAGCGACGCGAGCACCCCGAGCCAAAAAACGUCCUGCAGUCUCUUGGCCUGACAAGCCGUGGGAUUGGUAACUUUUCUGGAAGUUGCUGAUCCCUGAUGCUCUCUCCUCCAUAAGCAAAACAAAUGUGCACGCGGUUGCGUAGUGCGUAGCUCGCCCACCUCUGCAUGGGCUUGCUUGCUGUGCGCGUAACCGUUGAUUGACAGCAUGACAAAGCUGAAGCUCGAACUUGAUUGGUCGGCAGCAACCGGCGCUUUUUAGAAUAACAUGGGGGUCUAUGAGAGGAAGGCGGAGCUCAGGAAUAAAUUUUCAUAUCGUGUUAUACUAACUUUAUAUUAUAGUAUCGAACUAGACUAACACAUUUAAGCUUUGUUAAAAAAUGAUACAUAAAUUGAAAACAAACGGAAACUCCGGACAGCAGCUUUA